ACCAGUUUCGCAACUGUGAAAAUCUGGUGUUACAGAAACUGUAAAGCUAUGGGAAUUGUCUAGAAAGUGAAAGGAGCCUUGCAAAUCACUGGAGAGAUCCUCAUCUUGGAAAAUAUAGUCAGAUUCUGUUAAAAACAACCCUUGGAGAGGCGGCAUUGCCCCAGUCCCAACAGCUGACUGGCACAUACAUCAUACUCAGUGCAUGGGGAAACUGACUAUCAUCAACUCUGCAUGAAGCUUCCACAAACACACAGCACGGCUGCAGAAGGAACUACUGUGUGCAGAACAUUCAGGUAAUCUCUAAUUACUGCCAGCCCUCGGUGCAGUAUUCUCUCAUUUAUAAAUGAAAUACUACACAGCAUAUCAGGACCUCCUGUCCUCUAGCAGUCCCCAGGCUCUCUGGAUUAUGAAUCACUGCCAUUGAAACUGUCACUCUGAUUACCUCAUGACUUAGGAUAAUUCUGGGGAGCUUUACUCAGAGAUACUUUCUCAGCUCACAAUGUGACCACAGAGCAACCAGAAGCCUGGCUGUGCCCAUAGCAUCUCUCUUGGGGUUGCUGCUUCUACAUAUUAAGUUACAUUUUUAUGAAAAGAAAAAAAGAAAAAGAAUGUAGGAAUGGAA
rnacentral:lncRNA from 1 species